AUUGAACGCUGGCGGCAGGCCUAACACAUGCAAGUCGAACGAGUGGCGGACGGGUGAGUAAUGUCUGGGAAACUGCCCGAUGGAGGGGGAUAACUACUGGAAACGGUAGCUAAUACCGCAUACCAUCGGAUGUGCCCAGAUGGGAUUAGCUAGUUGGUGGUGUAACGGCUCACCUCGGCGACGAUCCCUCGCUGGUCUGCGAGGAUGACCAGCCACACUGGAACUGAGACACGGUCCAGAUUCCUACGGGAGGCAGCAGUGGGGAAUAGUGCACAAUGGGCGCAAGCCUGAGGCAGCCAUGCCGCUUGUUUUAAGAAGGCCUUCGGGUUGUAAAGUACUUUCAGCGGGGAGACGUUACCCGCAGAAGAAGCACCGGCUAACUCCGUGCCAGCAGCCGCGGUAAUUC
rnacentral:rRNA from 1 species